GACGUAGGGCGCAAGCGUUGUCCGGAUUUAUUGGGCGUAAAGAGCUCGUAGGCGGUUCAUUGCGUCAAUCGUGAAAUCCUGUGGCUCAACUACAGGCUUGCGGUUGAUACGGGUGGGCUGGAGUUCGGUAGGGGAGACUGGAAUACCUGGUGUAGCGGUGAAAUGCGUAGAUAUCUGGAGGAAUACCGGUGGCGAAGGCGGCAUCCUGGACCAUUACUGACGCUGAGGCGCGAAAGCUAGGGGAGCAAACGGG
rnacentral:rRNA from 1 species